rnacentral:rRNA from 1 species
UACAGAGGGUGCGAGCGUUGUCCGGAAUCACUGGGCGUAAAGGGCGCGUAGGCGGCUGGGGAAGUCCGUGGUGAAAGCUCGUGGCUCAACUGCGAGUCGGCCAAGGAUACUCCUCAGCUCGAGUCGACUAGAGGCAGAUGGAAUUCCGGGUGUAGCGGUGGAAUGCGUAGAGAUCCGGAAGAACACCGGUGGCGAAGGCGGUCUGCUGGGGUCGAACUGACGCUGAGGCGCGACAGCGUGGGGAGCAAACAGG